AGAGUUUGAUCAUGGCUCAGAUUGAACGCUGGCGGUAUGCUUAACACAUGCAAGUCGAACGGUAGCAGCUCUUCGGAGGCUGACGAGUGGCGGACGGGUGAGUAACGCGUAGGAAUCUGCCUAUUAGUGGGGGACAACUUGUGGAAACGCAAGCUAAUACCGCAUACGCCCUACGGGGGAAAGGAGGGGAUCUUCGGACCUUUCGCUAAUAGAUGAGCCUGCGUUAGAUUAGCUAGUUGGUGGGGUAAGAGCCUACCAAGGCGACGAUCUAUAGCUGUUCUGAGAGGAAGAUCAGCCACACUGGGACUGAGACACUGCCCAGACUCCUACGGGAGGCAGCAGUGGGGAAUAUUGGACAAUGGGCGAAAGCCUGAUCCAGCAAUACCGCGUGUGUGAAGAAGGCCUUAGGGUUGUAAAGCACUUUCAAUUGGGAGGAAAAACAAGGGUUAAUACCCCUUGUCUUGACAUUACCUUUAGAAGAAGCACCGGCUAACUCCGUG
rnacentral:rRNA from 1 species